rnacentral:rRNA from 1 species
AGAGUUUGAUCCUGGCUCAGAUUGAACGCUGGCGGCAUGCCUUACACAUGCAAGUCGAACGGCAGCACGGGGGCAACCCUGGUGGCGAGUGGCGAACGGGUGAGUAAUGCAUCGGAACGUGCCCAGUAGUGGGGGAUAACUAGUCGAAAGAUUAGCUAAUACCGCAUACGACCUAUGGGUGAAAGCGGGGGACCUUUACCGGCCUCGCGCUAUCGGAGCGGCCGAUGUCUGAUUAGCUAGUUGGCGGGGUAAAAGCCCACCAAGGCGACGAUCAGUAGCUGGUCUGAGAGGACGACCAGCCACACUGGGACUGAGACACGGCCCAGACUCCUACGGGAGGCAGCAGUGGGGAAUUUUGGACAAUGGGCGCAAGCCUGAUCCAGCCAUGCCGCGUGCGGGAAGAAGGCCUUCGGGUUGUAAACCGCUUUUGGCAGGAACGAAACGGCGCGAGCGAAUAUCUCGCGUUAAUGACGGUACCUGCAGAAUAAGCACCGGCUAACUACGUGCCAGCAGCCGCGGUAAU